UACGUAGGUGGCGAGCGUUGUCCGGAUUUACUGGGCGUAAAGGAUGCGUAGGCGGAUAUUUGAGUGAGAUGUGAAAUACCCGAGCUUAACUUGGGUGCUGCAUUUCAAACUGGAUAUCUAGAGUGUGGGAGAGGAGAAUGGAAUUCCUAGUGUAGCGGUGAAAUGCGUAGAGAUUAGGAAGAACACCAGUGGCGAAGGCGAUUCUCUGGACCAUAACUGACGCUGAGGCAUGAAAGCGUGGGUAGCAAACAGG
rnacentral:rRNA from 1 species